rnacentral:rRNA from 1 species
UACCAGCACCCCGAGURGUCGGGACGAUUAUUGGGCCUAAAGCAUCCGUAGCUUGUYCUGCAAGUCCUCCGUUAAAUCCAYCUGCUCAACAGAUGGGCUGCGGAGGAUACUACAGRGCUAGGAGGCGGGAGAGGCAAGCGGUACUCAGUGGGUAGGGGUAAAAUCCUUUGAUCCACUGAAGACCACCAGUGGCGAAGGCGGCUUGCCAGAACGCGCUCGACGGUGAGGGAUGAAAGCUGGGGGAGCAAACCGGAUUAGAUACCCGGGUAGUCCCAGCUGUAAACGAUGCAGACUCGGUGAUGRAWAGGCUUCGUGCCWUUYCAGUGCCGCAGGGAAGCCGUUAAGUCUGCCGCCUGGGGAGUACGGUCGCAAGACUGAAACUUAW